GUGGUAUAUCAUUAUUUUUUUACUCACAAUCUGUACAAUAUUGAUAAUCUGUGCAAUAUUAUUACUCUCGCAGUAUUUCUGUUCAUCAAAAACCUGCACAGUACCACUGAUGUGUGCAUAAUGUUAUUUCUAGAACUAGUACUUAUGUAUAUUUUUGUUUAUUUUGUACUAUAUUCCUUUAAUGUUGUACUAUUUUUGCUUCACUAAAAUAAAUCCCACUGUCUGCAGUUAUACAGUGGUAGUAUCAGAAUGCCAGGUGAGGUUAUUGUGGUUUUAAAUCAUAAGACGUGAAACAUGCUUGAUCUUAAAGCGGCCCAGUGGCCCAAAUGGUUAAAGUGGAAACCACAUGGUUAAAAACUGCAUGUCACCCUCCUCCUUUCUCUCCCCACAAGAAGCUGCCACGAUUAAUAUAAUGCUACUUAUUAUUAUUGCGCAUUAGAGGAUCAGUUCUUGCAAAGCAUGUUAGACCAGUAUGCAACGAACACUUUGUGCUUUCAGUGACGUCCUGCUCAGCUGUGUCUGAUGAUGUUCCACCGUCCAGGCCGUCCACAGCACUGAGCUCACUGCAAUCCAUUGAUGAAAAAGCAAAAAUACACCGACAUCUACAAGUGACUCAGCAAUUGUUCUCAUCAGUUCACCAAACCCUUCCAAGGAUCAGUCUCCAAUGAAGGAUCAAAAUCCUGAUUUGAAGCCCAAGUUAAGUAAGAU